GCAUGUGAGCGCACAGGGAGGUCCGGAGCAGCAAGCUUGGGAGCGCCUUGCACUCUCUCUGCUUUGACCGAGCGCCUUGCUGUGUAUAACAGGACCCUCGACUUUUCCACCAGCUUGUCCACUGAUGAAAAGGAGAAGCCAGUCAGGAAUCAGCUGCCCUUGCCUGAGAAUCUCUACAAAGAGGAGCAUCUGAUGAGGAAAUGAGAACUUCAGCCAGAAGCCAACAAUAAAUUGAGGGCUUCUACGAGCA
rnacentral:lncRNA from 13 species